rnacentral:rRNA from 1 species
GAUGAACGCUAGCGGGAGGCUUAACACAUGCAAGUCGAGGGGUAACAUGAGGUAGCAAUACUUUGAUGACGACCGGCGUACGGGUGAGUAACGCGUAUGCAACCUGCCCUGUACAGGGGGAUAACCCGGAGAAAUUCGGACUAAUACCCCAUAAAGAUAUCCGGAGGCAUCUUUGGAUAUUUAAAGUUUCGGCGGUACGGGAUGGGCAUGCGUAACAUUAGCUGGUUGGUAGGGUAACGGCCUACCAAGGCGACGAUGUUUAGGGGUCCUGAGAGGGUGAUCCCCCACACUGGUACUGAGACACGGACCAGACUCCUACGGGAGGCAG